rnacentral:rRNA from 1 species
ACAGAGGUCCCAAGCGUUGUUCGGAUUCACUGGGCGUAAAGGGUGCGUAGGUGGUGAGGUAAGUCGGAUGUGAAAUCUCCGAGCUCAACUCGGAAAUGGCAUUGGAAACUACCUUGCUAGAGGAUCGGAGGGGGGACUGGAAUACUUGGUGUAGCAGUGAAAUGCGUAGAUAUCAAGUGGAACACCAGUGGCGAAGGCGAGUCCCUGGACGAUACCUGACGCUGAGGCGCGAAGGCUAGGGGAGCGAACGGGA